UUUCCGUAGGUGAACCUGCGGAAGGAUCAUUAUUGUAUAACCGAGGUGCGAGGGCUGUCGCUGACCCGAAAGGUCGUGCACGCCCGAGUGCCCUCACACACAUCCAUCUCACCCCUAUGUGCACCACCGCGUGGGUCCCCCUUUGGCUUGUUCGGAGGGGGGCUUACGUUUUCACACAAACUUUGUAUGCAGUGUAGAAUGUAUUUUUUGUUUUUGCGAUCACGCAAUCAAUACAACUUUCAACAACGGAUCUCUUGGCUCUCGCAUCUAUGAAGAACGCAGC
rnacentral:misc_RNA from 1 species